AGAGUUUGAUCAUGGCUCAGAGUGAACGCUGGCGGCAGGCCUAAUACAUGCAAGUCGAACGGCAGCACAGCAGAGCUUGCUCUGUGGGUGGCGAGUGGCGGACGGGUGAGGAAUACGUGGGAAUCUGCCCAGUCGUGGGGGAUAACGUAGGGAAACUUACGCUAAUACCGCAUGCGCCCUUCGGGGGAAAGCCGGGGACCUUCGGGCCUGGCGCGAUUGGAUGAGCCCACGUCGGAUUAGCUAGUUGGCGGGGUAAAGGCCCACCAAGGCGACGAUCCGUAGCUGGUCUGAGAGGAUGAUCAGCCACACUGGAACUGAGACACGGUCCAGACUCCUACGGGAGGCAGCAGUAGGGAAUAUUGGACAAUGGGCGCAAGCCUGAUCCAGCCAUGCCGCGUGAGUGAAGAAGGCCCUCGGGUUGUAAAGCUCUUUUGUCCGGAAAGAAAAGCGCCGGGUUAAUACCCUGGUGUCCUGACGGUACCGGAAGAAUAUGCACCGGCUAACUUCGUG
rnacentral:rRNA from 1 species